AAGAAUUAGGCAGCGAAUAUCCCGGAUCUCGACUGUCACAGAUUUCACUGACGCUGCUAAGCUUUGAAGAACUCUCAACCUGAGGAAUGGAAUUAUCUCGCUGAGUUGUGCAUGAUGCCCUGGAACAUUAGCGAUGUUGAAGACAGAAGGGUGUGACAUUUCACAGGAAGACAUCUGUGCCACCAGAUCCCUGGCUUGGUGAGGGAAAGUGUCACCCAUCAUACUGUAUCAGUGAUGGGCGCUCCUGGAAUAUGCAGACUGGGAGCCUAUGUCGCAUGUCGACUGAAAUUAAAUC